AUUGAACGCUGGCGGCAUGCCUUACACAUGCAAGUCGAACGGCAGCACGGGAGCAAUCCUGGUGGCGAGUGGCGAACGGGUGAGUAAUAUAUCGGAACGUGCCCGGUCGUGGGGGAUAACGUAGCGAAAGCUACGCUAAUACCGCAUACGAUCUACGGAUGAAAGCGGGGGAUCGCAAGACCUCGCGCGAUUGGAGCGGCCGAUAUCAGAUUAGGUAGUUGGUGAGGUAAAGGCUCACCAAGCCGACGAUCUGUAGCUGGUCUGAGAGGACGACCAGCCACACUGGGACUGAGACACGGCCCAGACUCCUACGGGAGGCAGCAGUGGGGAAUUUUGGACAAUGGGCGCAAGCCUGAUCCAGCAAUGCCGCGUGCAGGAUGAAGGCCUUCGGUUGUAACGUAGCUUUGUUACGGUAACG
rnacentral:rRNA from 1 species